UGGGGAAUCUUGGACAAUGGGGGCAACCCUGAUCCAGCCAUGCCGCGUGAGUGAUGAAGGCCUUAGGGUCGUAAAGCUCUUUCGCCUGUGAAGAUAAUGACGGUAGCAGGUAAAGAAACCCCGGCUAACUCCGUGCCAGCAGCCGCGGUAAUACGGAGGGGGUUAGCGUUGUUCGGAAUUACUGGGCGUAAAGCGCACGUAGGCGGACCAGAAAGUUGGGGGUGAAAUCCCGGGGGCUCAACCCCGGAACUGCCUCCAAAACUAUUGGUCUAGAGUUCGAGAGAGGUGAGUGGAAUUCCAAGUGUAGAGGUGAAAUUCGUAGAUAUUUGGAGGAACACCAGUGGCGAAGGCGGCUCACUGGCUCGAUACUGACGCUGAGGUGCGAAAGUGUGGGGAGCAAACAGGAUUAGAUACCCUGGUAGUCCACACCGUAAAACGAUGAAUGCCAGUCGUCGGGUAGCAUGCUAUUCGGUGACACACCU
rnacentral:rRNA from 1 species